ACGAGCGAGUGCUUAAAACUCAAAGAACUUGGCGGCUUGUUAACUACCUAGGGGAAUAUGCGCCUUAAUCCGAUGGUCCCCGUAGCAUCUUACUGGAUCUUGAAAAAGUGCAGUUGGUGUAUUGCCGUUGUCAGCUUGUUGUUCGAGCAAGGAAAAAACAGGCUUAAUGGAUCUUGGUGAUUAUGUUCACGAGAACCCGUGAAUUCAGGUCGUAAUGCUGCCUACGGUCCAAGGGAGUGGGUAUUACAAUUUAUAUUUAAAAUUACGGAACUUUAUUUUGAAAUUUUAGAGUGGAAGGUGAACUUAGGAGUAA
rnacentral:rRNA from 1 species